AAAAGUCUCCGAAUUGGGCCGAGGUUUUGGCUAGCCCCCCAUUGUCAGACGUCCCGAGCGCGUCCCCGAAGUCGGAAUCGGCAAAGGUGAGCCGGGACAGCCUUCUUCCUCCGCCCAGCCGCCACAGUAAUUUGUCGUCAAGUUUGCCACAGGAGGAUAUUUUGUUCUGGGUUAACCUGCUUUUCUCCUUCGCAGGUGUUUAUCAAUAAUUGUGUAAUUUUAUUUACUCUUAGAAUUUCCGCAUGUGUUAGCAGUAAUUAUUUGAAUUUGGUCUGUAAUAUUAUAUUCAUGUUGGACCUGUAAACUUAAUAUUUUAAGUCUGUUUUGAUGGAUUGGAUGAGGGAGCUGAGCUCCCAUUUAUUAUUA